UGGGGAAUUUUGGACAAUGGGGGAAACCCUGAUCCAGCCAUCCCGCGUGUGCGAUGAAGGCCUUCGGGUUGUAAAGCACUUUUGGCAGGAAAGAAACGUCGCGGGUUAAUACCCCGCGAAACUGACGGUACCUGCAGAAUAAGCACCGGCUAACUACGUGCCAGCAGCCGCGGUAAUACGUAGGGUGCAAGCGUUAAUCGGAAUUACUGGGCGUAAAGCGUGCGCAGGCGGUUCGGAAAGAAAGAUGUGAAAUCCCAGAGCUUAGCUUUGGAACUGCAUUUUUAACUACCGGGCUAGAGUGUGUCAGAGGGAGGUGGAAUUCCGCGUGUAGCAGUGAAAUGCGUAGAUAUGCGGAGGAACACCGAUGGCGAAGGCAGCCUCCUGGGAUAACACUGACGCUCAUGCACGAAAGCGUGGGGAGCAAACAGGAUUAGAUACCCUGGUAGUCCACGCCCUAAACGAUGUCAACUAGCUGUUGGGGGCCUUCGGGCCUUGGUAGCGCAGCUAACGCGUGAAGUUGACCGCCUGGGGAGUACGGUCGCAAGAUUAAAACUCAAAUGAAUUGACGGGGUCAUAGCUGUUUCCUG
rnacentral:rRNA from 1 species